rnacentral:rRNA from 1 species
GAUCAUGGCUCAGGACGAACGCUGGCGGCGUGCUUCAUACAUGCAAGUCGAACGAUAAGGCACCUUCGGGUGUACAUAAGUGGCGGACGGGUGAGUAAUGUGUAGAGAAUCUGCCCUUAAGCGGGGGACAACAGCUGGAAACGGUUGCUAAUACCCCAUAUGAGCGUAGCUGAAAUGCUAUUCUUGAAAACUCCGGUGCUUAAGGAUGAGUCUGCAUCUGAUUAGCUAGUUGGGGGUGUAAUGGACCACCAAGGCGACGAUCAGUAGCUGGUUUGAGAGGAUGAUCAGCCACAAUGGGACUGAGACACGGCCCAUACUCCUACGGGAGGCAGCAGUAGGGAAUUUUGCGCAAUGGGGGAAACCCUGACGCCAGCAACGCCGCGUGAUUGAAUAAGCCCUUCGGGGUGUAAAGAUCUGUCAGUGGGGACGAAACUUGACGGUACCCACAGAGGAAGCAUCGGCUAACUCCGUGCCAGCAGCCGC